CCUACGGGAGGCAGCAGUGGGGAAUAUUGCACAAUGGGGGAAACCCUGAUCCAGCAACGCCGCGUGAGUGAAGGAGUAUUUCGGUAUGUAAAGCCCCAUCAGUAGGGAAGAAGAAAGACGGUACCUGACUAAGAAGCCCCGGCCAACUACGUGCCAGCAGCCGCGGUAAUACGGAGGGGGCAAGCGUUAACCGGAUUUCCUGGGUGUAAAGGGAGGGUAGACGGUUGUGCAAGUCUGAAGUGAAAGCCCGGGGCUCAACCGCGGAACUGCUUUGGAAACUGUAUGGCUUGAGUACUGGAGAGGCAUGCGGAAUGCCUGGUGUAGCGGUGAAAUGCGUAGAUAUUAGGAAGAACACCAGUGGCGAAGGCGGCAUGCUGGACAAAAACUGACGUUGAGGCACGAAAGCGUGGGGAGCAAACAGGAUUAGAUACCCGGGUAGUC
rnacentral:rRNA from 1 species